rnacentral:misc_RNA from 1 species
UUGGAGUGCAUCGCCUUUUUUUGGUUGUACAGUGUGCUACACUACAAGCGUGAGCGUAUGAAUGACUCUCGGCAAUGGAUAUCUUGGCUCUCGUGUCGAUGAAGAACGUAGCGAAAUGCGACACUUGGUGUGAAUUGCAGAAUCCCGUGAACCAUCGAGUCUUUGAAUGCAAGUUGCGCUUGAGACCUUUAGGUCGAGAGCACGUCUGCUUGGGCGUCAUGCCUUGCGUCAUUCUAAACAUCAACCUACCUUAAAUAAAAGUGUGGGUAACGGUGGAUGUGGAGAUUGGCCCUCCGUGCUCUUGAUGUGCGGUUGGUUUAGGAGACGGUCGUCGUUAGGAUUGCAUGCGGCGAAUGUUGAUCGAGUUCAUGCACGAAGUCUCCAGCUGCGUACAUGAGUCCUAACCAUGAUGUAUAAUAAUUGAAACCAUUAACAAUGUUUGCACUAUUCGCAAGCAUGGACC